rnacentral:rRNA from 1 species
AUGACCGCUGCCAUCUUUGGCUCCAGAAGUUCCAACUUGGGUCAAGACAUGCGCGUGAAGCUUAAAGCUACAUACACCCUUGUGGAACAGUUAUACACCGGUGUACAACGGGCUAUAUCUGCUAUCUCGCAUAAAAAGCAACCACCUUCACUCAUCAAGGAAGUGCUAGAGAAAUUGUCUGUACUGCUGCAAAGAGUUGAAGAGCUGAAACAAUCAGCCGCCAGAGCCGGUGCCAUCACCGCGCUGAGCCGGGCAAAGGCAUGGCAAGCAGAACUGAACCCAAAAGAGUUGGCCACCGGCUGCCCAAGAUGA